rnacentral:rRNA from 1 species
AUUGAACGCUGGCGGCAGGACUAACACAUGCAAGUCGAGCGAGCGGCGGACGGGAGAGUAAUGUAUGGGGACUGCCCGAUAGAGGGGGAUAACUACUGGAAACGGUGGCUAAUACCGCAUACUAUCGGAUAACCCAUAUGGGAUUAGCUAGUAGGUGGGGUAAAGGCUCACCUAGGCGACGAUCUCUAGCUGGUCUGAGAGGAUGAUCAGCCACACUGGGACUGAGAAACGGCCCAGACUCCUCCGGAGGCAGCAGUGAGGAAUGUUGCACAAGGGGCGCAAGCCUAAUGCAGCCAUGCCGCGUGUAUGAAAAAGGCCUUAGGGUUGUAAAGUGCUUUAAGCGGGGAGGCGUUGCCCGCAGAAGAAGCACCGGCUAACUCCGUGCCAACAGCCGCGGUAAUAC